CACGUAGGGCGCAAGCGUUGUCCGGAAUUAUUGGGCGUAAAGAGCGUGUAGGCGGUUAGGUAGGUCCGUUGUGAAAACUCGAGGCUCAACCUCGAGACGCCGAUGGAAACCAUCUGACUAGAGUCCGGAAGAGGAGAGUGGAAUUCCUGGUGUAGCGGUGAAAUGCGCAGAUAUCAGGAAGAACACCCGUGGCUAAGGCGGCUCUCUAGUACGGUACUGACGCUGAGACGCGAAAGCGUGGGGAGCGAACAGG
rnacentral:rRNA from 1 species